CACAGCUGAUAAGUGAAGGAUGAAAGCUUCACGUACAUCUACAUAAAGUUCAAGGCAAAAUGCAAGGCAAAAACCUGGAAGAAACUGAUACUAUGGCAGCAGGGCACUCAAAACUGGGUAUAAAGAUAUGGGAAAUACCAGAGAGUGAGGGACUUUUUGGAACAGAGAGAUCCUCUCUUUCAGGGUAUGCAACAAAUGCUUCUAAUUUGUUAAAGGGACUGCGUCUCUCACCUGAUAACCUGAUAGCCACAGCUUCGUAGGAUAUGUGGCUCCCUCUAGAGCAGCAGGAAGUACCUGAGUCCAUGAAGGCAAAAGGAGAACACAUUCCAUUCAGAAAUCAAAGGAUAUUCUAGAAUAAUCCCCUUAGAAAUGGAAAAAAAUGAAAUAAAAUCCUCCGAUAUUCCAGAUAAAUGAAGAAACAACAUCGUGCACAGUUUCUUUCAAUAGUAUUUGUUAUUUGUCAUAGACUAUCCUUCCCUAGCUAUUUGAAAAAUCAUGAAAUUAAGUGAAAAACAGGAUGGUUUUUUUGUCUGUCAUGACCACUUAUUGCCUCCAUAUAUGAAUUAACCUAAAUUGGAAAGAAUUUCUGAAGUAAAGAAUAUGGAUUAACUGCAUUUGUUAGGCAUAACUUUGUUCUUAACUUCUACUGAUAACAGGCUGGUUCCAAAACCUCUCUUAGCAUUACUUCUACUAAAACUUGGAAUGCCAGAACUGAAAUAUUGUCACCUAGUUUUCCCCACAUAACUUUCUCUUUAGAGAUGUUAAUCAUAUUAACUUUAACAUUCUGAAAUUAGAAAAUUCAAGCCACUAAGAUUUUUUGGUUAGCCAAGAAAUCAUAAAGACAUUAUUAAUUCUGGGAUGUAUUUUUAAUUGGAAAUUCAGAAAUCAAUUCUGUGCUAAACUGCAGUUUAGUUCGUCUAUGAGAAUAAUAGAUGCAAUUAAAUUUAAAUUCAUCCACCCCUGCACUCAAAACAGUCCUUACUAGAGAGCAUGGCCUUAGCAAUUUGUCUGGUUUAUAUAUUAACUCAACAGAAGAAUUUGUAUGUGGACCUAGUUGUUCAGUCACUAGUGGGAUGAUGCUAAUUUUGAGUCACAGCAUAGCUGUGAUUUCAUCAGCAUUCUGCUUUGCAAACCUCCUUAAAAGUCCCCAUGACUUUGUUGUUUGAUUCUGACUUCAGAUUGUAUUCCCUUAGACCAGUAGGUCCCACUGGUCCCUUACUUACAAAUUAAUAUUUCAUAGCAACAUCCACACAUAACAAAUUUACAAGAACACAGGUAUAAUAAACCUAACAUGAAAAGUCACCAAGCACAGAAAGCAUCACUUUCAAGUCUUUAAGAAAAGUGUCUUUGCAGUACUUAGAAAAGCAGAAGCCCUUCUGCAGUCAGCAGACCACGCUUUUUUCCACACUGUUAUUUGUACUGUUAAAUCAUCUUAAUGCUUAAUUUCCACUGUUAAAUAUUAAACAGACCCGAUAUAGCAUGGAAUAGAACAACAACAACAAAAAGACGGGAUGGAGAUGGAGGUGAGAUGAGAGGAGAGCAAAUAUUGAUUACAUGGUAUUUCCCAACAUAGUUCCUGCAAUUUGGUCAAGCCAAAAAAUUUUUGAAGCUUUUUGAACAGUGACUGUGAUUUUCUGUCUGUUCCUCCUGAUGAAGUGGAGGAGCUUAGCGUUAACAUUGUGUAAUUGAGACCCUACCGAAAACCAGCUAUUUUUGCCUGGAACUAAUGCUUAGUGUCAACAGUCAGCAAAAUACUUUGCUGCAGUUCAGUGCUCCCCCAAAGUCUGAUCACAGCCAAAUAUUCCUCCUGAUCUUGAAACUGAGUAUGGACACCAAAUUGUCUGUACACUCUCUGUCUGACUGUAGUAAUGAUACAUCAAUGGUCACGUGAAAUAUAUUUCCCUAUUUGUGACCACUUUCCCCUUACACAUAAAUAAUUUAGUCAAUACAUAGAUAAACAAAGAGAACAUUCAUGGAUAAAUCUUGUCUGGACAUUCACCCUUCUUUGUUUUUCUCUUUCCUUCUUUUCCUCCUUUUUCUUUGUACUUAUUUCCUCUAAUUUUAGCUGCAAAAGCUCACAAUCACAGGGAUUGUUUUACUUGUCAAAGCCUAGGUGAACAAAUGGUCAUGGUUGUCAAGGACAAACUAUGCUACAAAAUGGAUAUACACCUCUUGUUUUCUUUUCAUUUGGGAAGGUCUGUAAUUACUGUCUAGUUUACAAUGAUGAUGGGCUAAAUUUUAACAAGGUACUUCCCUUCUAUUUAUUUAUAACAGCAAAAUAAGAUGCAACAUCAAUUUUAAACUAAAAUUUUGUGUGCCAGGUGUGACCUUCAAUGCCAUGAGCCAGUAACAGUAACACCUUCCUGCUAAUCACAAUUUCAGCUCUCAAACUAUGUCAUGAAACCACAUUAACUGGAUUCAUAGCGGUCAUUCCUCUACUGUAGUAGAUCCUGCUUCUUAAUUAUUUGUAAUGGGAAUAAAAUUCCAGAAUACUUAAAUAAUCAAAGAUGUGUUGUUUACUACUGCUGAUAAUUAAGACCACAAUCAACUUGCUACAAAUUCUACAUAACUAUGUAAUCUAUGUUAUUGUUCUGCACUUCAUGUAUAUCUGUAUGUAUUCCACACCCCGUCUCACACUUCAACAUCUUUAGGAGAAAUCUAACUAUACAUUUCAUGCAUUUAAUGACAUUUUGCAAACAGAUUCCUGACAGUUUCUUUUGUUUCAAACUUGCUGAGUGUUUCUGGAGACCAAAAGUGGAUGUGAACACAGUGAGGCAGGCAGUGGGUAGGGCGUUUCAGCAGUGGCAAUAAUGAUGGCAGGUCAUCUUCACUGCUGCAGAUUUUUAUGAUCAUGACAUACAGGCUCUUGUAAACCUUUGGCAAAAAACACAUAGCUAAUGGUGGCGACUAUGUUAAAAAAAUAGGCUUUUGUAGCUGAGAAUUUUCUCUAUCAAAUAGUACUAUUUUAUUCUUUGGAACUGCUCUACUUUCUAUGAAAUAAAUAAGAGGCAUUACCUUUGGAGGGACCUAAACACUGCAGUGAUAGCUAUACGUUAAUUUCCAGCUUUUAGGUUACAAGAUCAACUCCAGUUACAGAUUGCCUACUACAAUGUAGCAGGUGUCUUAUAUGUAUUACACAGCAGUAACAAGUAAACCUCCUAAUGCUGCUUCAAAAGUGUGCAGGUUGGUGUACAAGACAGAAUUUUGCACGUGAUGGGAGCCCUCCUGGAAAGGGAGCAGAAGUGUAGAGAGCAUGUUCUAGCAUUAGAAACCUUUAUUCAGACCUCAAAUUCUUUUAAAAGAUGGUCAGUUUUUCACUAUUUUUAUGUUUAGCAGCUUCUCUGUGGAGAUUCUUUUCAGAUUUGUGUAUUUGUGUAAUAGUAGUAUUUGUUAAAAAAAAAAAAAAAAGUAUUCUGAAAUUCUCAUGUUUGAACGAUUUCCAAGAAAGGAAAAAGUAUUCAAAACAGUUGACAAAAUAAAAUAAAAACUAAAGGUUGAAAUCUUACUUAUUAUAAAGAUCUUCAGGAAUACUUUUCAUUGUCCAAAUAAAGUUGAAAAUAUUGGAGUGACUUCAGGCUGGGAUGGACUGCCUGAGGAGCAAAGUACUGUUUUGAAAAUUCCAGAAGAAUUGCCAGCUCUGUUGAGCAGCUGAGCUUUAACUUUGGAAACAUCACUAACUGUUGGACUUCAGUUUCCUCACUAAGUUAGGUUGGUCCACUGACCCCACUAUCUGGGAUCAUCUCAGCUGACCUGCUUCCUAUACCUCCUUUGUACUUCUAAGCAAUACCAAAUUGAGUGCCUACCUUUAGCCAUGCUUUUGAUCAAGUAUGGCUGAUCAAAGUGGCUUGAAGUAAAUACCAAUGGCGUUAUUGUGUGACUCAGAAGCAGAGCUGCCCAGGCACGUGAUAUAGACUUUGGCUAACAGCCAAAGAAAGGACACAGAAUGCGGUUGCUAGACACAAAGGUAAUUUGCCUUUUUAUUUCUCCCAGUCAGUCUCUCUACUCAUACAGAAGAUUUUAAUUGGAAAUGUAGGUAAAAAAAAAAGAAUCCAUCUAGUAGAAAACACAGAAAGGUGUCAGCUUUCAGUUUUGUUUUGAAUAGUUAUAGAGUAAAUUCAGCUUUCUUCUGACUAUAACUUCUAGCUAUGUAGGAAGAUUUAGGCCAACAUCAUGUGACUUAUAAAAGCACUACUUGAAACCAUAAAGAGCCAUUGUUCCACAGAAUUAUGCAUUAUAAUUACCUCAAAUCAGUUAAUUUUAACAGAAAACUGUUUGAAUUGUGACUAUUUGAUACUGAACCUGAAUUUCUCUAAAAAAAACCUCUUGACCUAUCUGGUGUUGCAUCCUACAUAUUCUUAUCAGUUCUAACAUUCUUUUUCAACAAGUCACUCUCAUCAACAGAUAACUCUCAUCUCCUUGUAGCACCUAGUCUCUCUUCUCCAUUCCUUCCAUACUCUUGGAGGGAGUUGGCCAACAGAGCCCUUAGAAGAAUCACGGAGAAAGCAUUUCCUAAAAAAUCUCAACGAGAUCCUUCAUCGAAACUUUUAAUGAUGAAGGAAAGCCUGGAUUGAUAUUCAUUUAGUACCCACGUGUGUUCCUCCACAGAGCAGCGGAGCAUUACAGCAGUCCUAGGGUUGGGGUCAGUGAGAUAGGACCCAGAUGUAAAGACCAGAAAAGGGUAAUUAGGUCAUUAGAACUAGGUGACAGUGCCCUGCUCUCAAGUUCAUUGAUUAGGCAGUGAGAGUGUGUGUGUGCAUUGUUUUGUUUUGUGUUGUUGUGUUGUUUUUUUUUGUUUUGUUUUGUUUUUUUCCUGGAUGAUGCAAUGUUAUUAAAUUAGUGCCUUUGGUUGAGUUUAGGCGGGUGGGGAUUAUGGAAACUUGUUUGAACUGGUCUCCAGCCUUUGUGAAUGCUCCAGCUUUCCUACUAAUUAUAAUUGAAUAAAUCUCUUAACAAACACAUUUGUUUUUCUAAUUCGCCUCCACACUCUUAAUUGCUGUAACUUCAAACCCAACACCCAAAUAUUACAGCAUAGAUGACAAUUAGCAUCCCUUGCUCUUUGGAGACCUCUGAACUAUUAAGAUGCCUUCUGAGGUAAGAUUUGAAGCACAGCAACUAGGAUCUCUUCACCAGAAACUGAAUCCAACAAGCCAGGAUAAGCCUAAGAAGAUGCAUCAUUUCCAAAGGAGGAAAAUCUUUUACCCUUCUCUUCAUAGUUUACUAUAAAAACCAAGUCUAUCAAAUCUUUGAGAUGGGAAUCCUGAUAUCUGCUUUUUUGAUGACAGUAAGCUCAUAACUGAGCUACAAAUCCAUGGUCUGAAAAUUACUCAUUUAGUACAAAGUACAUCACAAACUUCAUUUCUUUCUGUACUGAGAGACUUUCAGGACUUUCAUGCAAGUAGACAGAUUCUUCAGUGUGCCUGCAUCGCUUAUUGCCCAUUACAGUUCCCUUAACAUAUUUUUCUCGGAAAAACUUGGAAUUUGUCUGAGGAUGUUAUUUCCAUUUAAGGAAACAUACACAAAGAAGUUAGAACAUUUUCAGGAAUGUUUUUGCUUUGAUGGCAAUUUCAAAUUGAGAUGAUAAAGAUGUUCUACACUGUUUUUUAUCAGAUGCUACCAAAUUAAAAACUUUUCUAUUAUUUAUCAAUAAAAUGCCUUUUUAUCAGCCAGUCAUUCAGUACAAUGAAAUCCCUAUAUACAGUUUUUUGAAGACCAUGAAGAAGGUGGAACCAUCAGCAAAAUCACCACGAAAUUCAUUCCAUUCUGAAAUGAUCUCCGAAUUCCCUGAGAGAUUUCCUGAACUUAUUGCUUAUAGACUCACAGAAGGAUCUUCCCUCUGCUCCUAGCUUAUAUAUUUUUAAAGAUCCUUAUGAAGAAUUCCUGCAAUAUAUCGACCAAUCUGCAGUCCACACACAUAUCAACAGUUUCAAAGAAUUCUUCAGCAAAGCCAUAUUAAUUCUUGAAUGUUUUGUCAUAUGUAUUCACAUGACGACAAAUUCUAGUUUCCAAAAUUCAAAAAUUGGGCUAUGUGAUCUUCAUUUCACUACAUGUUUACAUGCAAAGUUUUUUUUUUUAAUAUUACGUUCGUAACUUUUUUCACUCUGAUAUAGAAACCAAUCCAAGUAGUGCAGAACAGUGAAAGUUCUAACAUUUUUCUUAAGACAGAUAAGAGCUCUUACAUAAAUACUUAGCACUUUGUUGUUACUUUCCUUUCCUCCCC